rnacentral:rRNA from 1 species
GAUGAACGCUGGCGGCGUGCCUAACACAUGCAAGUCGAACGGAGAUUACGGACGGAAGUUUUCGGAUGGAAGCCUGUAAUUCUUAGUGGCGGACGGGUGAGUAACGCGUGGGCAACCUGCCCUAUACAGGGGGAUAGCAGCUGGAAACGGCUGGUAAGACCGCAUAAGUCGGUUAAAUCGCAUGAUUUGAUCGGGAAAUGAGCAAUCAGGUAUAGGAUGGGCCCGCGUCCGAUUAGCCAGUUGGCAGGGUAAAAGCCUACCAAAGCGACGAUCGGUAGCCGGACUGAGAGGUCGGACGGCAACAGUGGGACUGAGACACGGCCCAAACUCCUACGGGAGGCAGCAGUGGGGGAUAUUGCACAAUGGAGGAAACUCUGAUGCAGCGACGCCGCGUGAGUGAAGAAGUAUUUCGGUAUGUAAAGCUCUAUCAGCAGGGAAGAUGAUGACGGUACCUGACUAAGAAGCCCCGGCUAACUACGUG